rnacentral:piRNA from 2 species
UGCUUUAACAUCUUGCCUACCAUUGCCCU